GACGAACGCUGGCGGCGUGCUUAACACAUGCAAGUCGAGCGGAAAGGCCCUUUCGGGGGUACUCGAGCGGCGAACGGGUGAGUAACACGUGAGUAAUCUGCCCUGGACUCUGGGAUAGCCACCGGAAACGGUGAUUAAUACCGGAUACAACCACUAUCCGCAUGGGUUGGUGGUGGAAAGAACUUCGGUCCAGGAUGAGCUCGCGGCCUAUCAGGUAGUUGGUGAGGUAACGGCUCACCAAGCCGACGACGGGUAGCCGGCCUGAGAGGGUGACCGGCCACACUGGGACUGAGACACGGCCCAGACUCCUACGGGAGGCAGCAGUGGGGAAUAUUGCACAAUGGGCGCAAGCCUGAUGCAGCAACGCCGCGUGAGGGACGACGGCCUUCGGGUUGUAAACCUCUUUUAGCAGGGAAGAAGCGAAAGUGACGGUACCUGCAGAAAAAGCACCGGCUAACUACGUGCCAGCAGCCGCAGUAAGAC
rnacentral:rRNA from 1 species